GUAAACAAGAAAAUGGUAGCUAAAUACCUCAGGAAUGUUCUUUCGAAUUACAGUUUUUGACACUGUUUAAUCAAGAAGACAAGUGCAAAUUAACAAAAUAGGACUCUGAAAUGAAAACAGAAAUUCUGAUGAGAGCAGGCAUGGCUGUGAAACCUCAAAAUCUGCCUGAAGUGUAGCUCUCAGAUUGAAAAUCUCUGUAGGGACAUCUAUUUAGAAUACAAGCCAGAUCAACUAAACAGAAUCUUGUCAGGCAGUAAAGGAUGGAGGUUGUUAUAUUUGCAGCAGAUGAAGAAGUUUCACCAUUGCAUCGAUGCUUGGUUUGCUAGUCUUGCCAGAUUCUGGAAGUCUCCAUAAUCCCAGCAGGCAAGACUGUCACGUCAGACCACAUGACAUUACACUGCUGAUGCAUGAACUAGAGUGCCACAGUGGGGAAUGAAAAAGCAGUAGCUAAAAGAGCAAGUCUGGUACUCAGCGUGUGAGACUUGACAAGUCCACAUUACUAUGAAAGACAAAUGGUUCCUGUCAGUGAAAUGUUUUUCUUCUGUUUCUCACUAUAGAAUGUGCAGUCACAGUCUCUUCCCUGCAAAACUUUGCAGCCACUAAAACUGUAAUGCAGAACUGAAAUGCAGCUUUUCAUUCUUUGGCUAAGGGACCAGCAUAAAUAACUGCAGUUUUGCUGUUGAUGGGAUUGAGCACCAGGAUAAUCUGUCUUUGUACUGUAGUUGCCAUGGCUACUGGGUCACAGAAGCAUAUACGCUGUCACAUUGCCUGCUUCAUUGGAUAGAAAAGACCCUCUAGUAACUGACAGAGGGAGAUUGGUUGGAACAAUGACCAAGAAAAGAAUAAACAGCCAAACUAAACUGGAACUUCAAAAAUAAUUUUCACUUUCCUCACAUCAUUUGUUUGCUCUUUGGCCAGAGGAGGUUCUUUCAGAAUGCUUUAGGUUGUAAAGGAUCUCUGGAAGCCAUGUGGUCCAUUCCCAUUUCUCAGGGACACAGAAGAUCCUGAAGUUUCCAAAGCAGAACCAGAGACUGCUAUGCAAACUCCUGUCUGUCAGCUGCUCUGUUAGCUACCCUCUGAAGGUGAAAGAGCAGAACAGAUUUAAAUAAAAAAGGUCAG